GGCGGACGGGUGAGUAAUGCCUAGGAAUCUGCCUAGUAGUGGGGGAUAACUUGCCGAAAGGUAAGCUAAUACCGCAUACGUCCUACGGGAGAAAGGAGGGGACUCUUCGGAGCCUUUCGCUAUUAGAUGAGCCUAGGUCGGAUUAGUUAGUUGGUGAGGUAAUGGCUCACCAAGACCGCGAUCCGUAACUGGUCUGAGAGGAUGAUCAGUCACACUGGAACUGAGACACGGUCCAGACUCCUACGGGAGGCAGCAGUGGGGAAUAUUGGACAAUGGGGGAAACCCUGAUCCAGCCAUGCCGCGUGUGUGAAGAAGGUCUUAGGAUUGUAAAGCACUUUAAGUUGGGAGGAAGAGCAGUUAACUAAUAUUUGACUGUUUUGACGUUACCGACAGAAUAAGCACCGGCUAACUUCGUGCCAGCAGCCGCGGUAAUACGAAGGGUGCAAGCGUUAAUCGGAAUUACUGGGCGUAAAGCGCGCGUAGGUGGUUCGUUAAGUUAGGAGUGAAAGCCCCGGGCUCAACCUGGGAAUUGCUUCUAAAACUGGCGAGCUAGAGUAUGGUAGAGGGUGGUGGAAUUUCCUGUGUAGCGGUGAAAUGCGUAGAUAUAGGAAGGAACAUCAGUGGCGAAGGCGACCACCUGGACUGAUACUGACACUGAGGUGCGAAAGCGUGGG
rnacentral:rRNA from 1 species